CCUACGGGGGGCUGCAGUGGGGAAUAUUGGACAAUGGGGGGAUCCCUGAUCCAGCCAUGCCGCGUGUGUGAAGAAGGCCCUCGGGUUGUAAAGCACUUUCAGUGAGGAAGAACGCCUGGUGGUUAAUACCCAUCAGGAAAGACAUCACUCACAGAAGAAGCACCGGCUAACUCCGUGCCAGCAGCCGCGGUAAUACGGAGGGUGCGAGCGUUAAUCGGAAUUACUGGGCGUAAAGCGCGCGUAGGUGGCUUGAUAAGCCGGUUGUGAAAGCCCCGGGCUCAACCUGGGAACGGCAUCCGGAACUGUCAAGCUAGAGUGCAGGAGAGGAAGGUAGAAUUCCCGGUGUAGCGGUGAAAUGCGUAGAGAUCGGGAGGAAUACCAGUGGCGAAGGCGGCCUUCUGGACUGACACUGACACUGAGGUGCGAAAGCGUGGGUAGCAAACAGGAUUAGAUACCCUUGUAGU
rnacentral:rRNA from 1 species